CCUACGGGGGGCUGCAGUGGGGAAUAUUGGACAAUGGGCGAAAGCCUGAUCCAGCCAUGCCGCGUGUGUGAAGAAGGCCUUCGGGUUGUAAAGCACUUUCAGUGGGGAAGAAAGCCUUGGGGCUAAUACCCUCGAGGAAGGACAUCACCCACAGAAGAAGCACCGGCUAACUCCGUGCCAGCAGCCGCGGUAAUACGGAGGGUGCGAGCGUUAAUCGGAAUUACUGGGCGUAAAGCGCGCGUAGGCGGUCUGAUAAGCCGGUUGUGAAAGCCCCGGGCUCAACCUGGGAACGGCAUCCGGAACGGUCAGGCUAGAGUGCAGGAGAGGAAGGUAGAAUUCCCGGUGUAGCGGUGAAAUGCGUAGAGAGCGGGAGGAAUACCAGUGGCGAAGGCGGACUUCUGGACUGACACUGACGCUGAGGUGCGAAAGCGUGGGUAGCAAACAGGAUUAGAUACCCUAGUAGUC
rnacentral:rRNA from 1 species